rnacentral:rRNA from 1 species
CAAUAGCAUAUAUUAAAGUUGUUGCAGUUAAAAAGCUCGUAGUUGGAUUUCUGAUCGAGACAUCAGGUCGGGUCCGAGAGGAUCAUGUACUUUGAUUUUGUUUUGAUCAUCCUUGGGGAGAGCAUUUCUGGCAUUCAGUUGUCGGGAUUGGGAUCCUCAUCGUUUACUGCGAAAAAAUUAGAGUGUUCAAAGCAGGCCUCGGCCUCUGAAUACAUUAGCAUGGAAUAAUAAGAUAGGACUUUGGUGGUCUAUUUUGUUGGUUUGCACGCCAAAGUAAUGAUUAAUAGGGAUAGUUGGGGGUAUUCGUAUUCAAUUGUCAGAGGUGAAAUUCUUGGAUUUAUGGAAGACGAACUACUGCGAAAGCAUUUACCAAGGAUGUUUUCAUUAA